UCCAUAUAGAACAUAUCACGGCCUCCUACACUAUAAGGACUUUACACACUGAACACGCUGUACUAUCCACUCCUACGUCGGCUAAACUACCCCAAAACCGUCCUAAAACCCGGUUUAGCUGCAGGUCUUUAGAGGCCACCCCAGCCCUUCCCUCCGUUUCGACCCACCUCACACCACAUUAACAGACAUGAUCAUCAGACUGGGCAGGCUGACACCUGGAUACUUCCGCCUCCUCCAGAGGCAAGUAGCCGGUGAGGUGCAGACGCAGCCACAAGACCGUGCCGUCAACCAGAUAGCCAUGAUGCUGGCCAUCAUGGGCCUGAGUUUGUCCUACUACAGUGCCAAACAGAUGACUGAGAAGGUCCAGUCCCAGCCUGCGCCCUGAAGGGACUUGACUACUCCGAUCGUGGAGCUAAUGGAUGAACCAAUGAGAAGUGAAGGAGGUGGAAGAUGGGGGGGAUAUAUACAGAGACACAGCAGUGUCUUCCAGGACCGCACUUUUUUUCACCUCACCGUCAUAUUCACACUCGGACUCUGAAUUUCUGGGAUCCCUCACUCACAAUGCGCACAGACCUCAGGGCUGCUGCUAAGUGUUUUCUAUACUUUCUGUUGUCGGGACCUUGAGGGGGGGUUGUGGGGAUGGCUCACAUGGAGUUGUGGAAAAGACUGGUUUGGGUGGGUGUUCAAAACCAGCUGACUGCCAAUUGGGCCUGACCAUUAGUCGUUACAAAGGUACAUGCUUAUAGGAUGCUGUCAAUACUGUUCUGAGCUACAAAAAACUACUUUAUACUGUGAAUUUUGCCAGUGCUCAAAGCCUGUCCAUGUAGGGUUAACAAAUAUGAACAGUAAUGCCUUUUUAAGGGAAAAGCUGACUGUAAUUGAGAUGUACCUUGUAACGAAGUGAUGGCAGUCCCAGAACAUGGUUAAAGGGGAUGAAAAGUUGGCUAAACUCUUUUAGGUUUUCUGUAUUUUUCCUUCACAGGAGAACCUUACAGAGGCUGGUGAACAGACCAGCAGCUGUAUAAACAAACUGUCAAUAUACUUGUGAAAUGUAUCUGUCAGCUCAGAGAUUCAGUAAGAUAUUUGCGCAAAAGUGCAGAAACUUUUUUUUUUUUAUAAAUGCAAUAGAUCUGCAACGGGACUUUAAACUUCUGACUACCUUAUCUUUAUGGUGUUUCCCCUGUGUUUUAACAUAAAUCCAUGAAGUCCUGUUAAUAUAAGCACCCUAGUUAAGAAACCUUCCUGCCCUGCAAUAUCUACUACAUGUUAAUGCAAACAUUUACCUUUACUGAACAUUGCAUGGGUGUGCAGACUUUUAAUCGAAGCAAAAUUAAUGAGUGUCUUGUUGUUAUUGAUAAAUGAAUGUAUUACUUUGUAAUGAUUUAAUAAAGCUGUGAAUAUUUUGAACGAGAUGGGACAGUGGAUUUAGUGAUAUUGAACGCUAACCAUUAGUCAAAGUUGUUGCGUUUAAAUGGUUCCUUGGUUGGCACCAGAGGCUGCAGAGCUACAGUAUUUCCUGUGUCUGAGAAUCUGUGGUGUGAUCGGCACGCAACAGGAAGUCAGGAUUUUUCUUUUUUCAGAUCACCUGCUAGUGUGCCUUCUCUGCACACGCAAGCCCAACUGUAUAGUGACUUUGCAAAAAUGUGGUUGUGUAGAGAUGGCUUUGAGUGUCGAAGUAGGAAGCUCAUGCAGUAAUGGCAUGCGAGGAAUGAAGAUGAAGGUGUAAGGAAAACAUGCUAUCAUCUAAUCUAAGUUAUCUGGCAUGGAGUUUAGAAAGUGCGCAUGCCUGUUUCCUGUCUGAUGUGAUGCCCUGUGACAGGCUCAGACCUCGUUGGGUGCCACGUGCCCCGCUGCUCACGCCAUUAGCUCCUCCCCAUCGCACAUCACUGGGCAAAAAUCACUUUGCCGUCUCAGUGAUGCUAGGCUCAGAACCCAACCCUUAACGAAGGCCCAUUGGCUAACCAGUAAUGCGUCACCAAAAUCGGCCUGGUUUUGAGCCACACAGACAAAAGGAUGGAGAUAAGGUCAUUGGUGGGUAAUGUGGGUGAGGAGGAUCAUUCUUUGGGAUGGAAGUGGGGGAUCCAUUCCCUGUUUUUAGUUUUAACACCUAUCCAAUUCUCACCAAGAGGCUUACAAUUACACUCACAGGUGGCCUUAACAGUCGAAACCAAGUGAAGUUCUGUAAAUGAGAUGGUUUCGUAGAUGUUUGUGAAGGCCUUUAGGAAGUUGCAGGUGUGAACAAGAGACAGAAACACGACUGACGCUCAUUCUCAGAUGCCUGUCACUUUAAUUUUCACAAUCUCUCAGAAGAACAAAUAUAAGAUGCUCAGCUUGUGUGUACUGUACAUGAUAAAUCUGUAUGUAUAUGAGUGUGUUUCUCCUGUACGUAUAAUCUUGUAAGUUAGAUAUGACUUAUUUUUGACAUGCUGUAUAAUAAAGAAAUAUUUUUUCAUUGGGGAUGAAGUGUUUGAGCCUCACAAGGCAUUCCCUCCCACCUGUGAACAUAUUUAAUUGUGUUUGUUUUGCUGCUGCUUUUUUGUUCAAUAAAGACAUUAAGAUAUAA